rnacentral:tRNA from 1 species
GCCUUCAUGGUGUAGUGGUCAGCAGGCUUAGUGCAUAUUUGAGAGGUCCAUGGUUCGAGUCCUGGUGAGGGCA